UCUUUGGUAGUAUAUUGGUUAGUGCACGCGCCUGUCAUACGUUGAUACUCCCUAUCCUUCGCGCGAGAGCUGGGUUCGACUCCCAACCAAAGAG